rnacentral:rRNA from 1 species
AUGGGGUUCGUGUCGUUGCUGGCGGUGGCGUCGACGCCGGUAGUGGAGGUGCUGCUCGUCGCGCUCCUUGGGGCCUACCUCGCCUCGCCCCGCUGCGGGCUCCUGGCUCCCUCCGCCCGCGCCGACAUCAACCGCGUCGUCUACGCCGUCUUCACCCCGGCGCUGCUGCUCGCCAGCCUCGCAUCCACCGUCACCCUCCACGACGCCCUCUCAUGGUGGUUCAUGCCGGUGAACAUCGGCAUCAUCUUCCUCGCCGGCGGGGUCCUGGGGUGGCUGGCGGUGCUCAUCCUCAGGCCACCGCCGCACCUCCGUGGGCUGGUCGUCGCGUCGUGCUCUGCGGCGAAUUUCGGCAACCUGCUCCUCAUUGUGAUCCCCGCGGUCUGCCGAGAGGACGGCAACCCCUUCGGCGGUGACUGCACCGGCCGCGGCCUCUCCUACGCCUCCUUCUCCAUGGCGCUUGGAGGGCUGUACAUCUGGACGCACACCUACAGCGUCAUGAAGAGGUCCAGCGAGGUAUGCCGGAGGAUGGCCGCCGCUGCUGAAGCUCAUGACCAUGCCAAGAAGGACCCUGUCGAUGUCACUGUCGCUGUCGAGGAGGAAGAAGAAGGGGACGAGGAGCAGCCCAGCUGGAAUGAUGGCGAUGGCGGGGAGGACGGGCUUGUCUUGGCGCCGUCGUCGUCGUCUUCUUCCUCGCAUCAACACCAAACUUCACUCAUGGGACCGUUGCUGUCUAGCCACCACCACCGCCAUUCCAGCGGUAAGAUGACGAGCAGCGGCAGCCUGUGGGCGAAGCUGACGCAGGGCACGCAACAGAUCGUCGAGGAGCUCAUGGCGCCGCCGACCGUCGGAGCGGUUCUGGGCUUCACCGUCGGCACCGUGCCGUGGCUGAGAUCCGCCUUCAUCGGCGACGGCGCUCCGCUGCGAGUCGUGCAGGACUCCCUCAAACUGCUCGGAGAUGGCACCAUCCCCUGUGUCACCCUCAUCCUCGGAGGAAACCUCACCAAAGGCUUGCGAAAGACGACGAUGUCGCGGUGGGUGAUCGCGGCCAUCGUCUGCGUGCGCUACGUGAUCCUGCCGGUGGUCGGGGUGGCUGUGGUGAGGACGGCGAGGGAGCUCGGCUUCCUGCCGCCCGACCCGCUGUACCAGUACGUGUUGAUGCUCCAGUUCGCGCUGCCGCCCGCAAUGAGCAUCGGCACCAUGGCGCAGCUCUACGACGUGGCCCAGGAGGAGUGCUCCGUCGUCUUCCUCUGGACCUACCUCGUCGCCGCCCUCGCCCUCACCGCCUGGUCCACCGUCUUCAUGUCCAUCCUCGCCCCCGCCUAG